rnacentral:misc_RNA from 1 species
UGCCCUCUUGCAAUCGAUCUGAUCCACCCCAUAUAUUGAUCAACAAGGAAAUUUGCCUCCAGCCUGACCACGGAUGUACUGGCAGGUUUGUUGAGGCAAGUCAGGAAGGUCGGUGCGAAUUUCGCCCGGCCUUUUUCUUU